GUGCUUGUUUUGGCAGCACAGGUACUACAAUCAGAACAAAGCAGGGAAGAUUAGCAUGGCCUUUGCCCGGGGAUGCCAAGCAAAUCUGUAGAGUGUUCCAUAAAAAAU
rnacentral:snRNA from 1 species